rnacentral:rRNA from 1 species
GAUGAACGCUGGCGGCAUGCCUAAUACAUGCAAGUCGAACGAGAGGAAGGAAAGCUUGCUUUCCUGAAUCUAGUGGCGAACGGGUGAGUAACACGUAGGUAACCUGCCCAUGUGCCCGGGAUAACUUCUGGAAACGGAUGCUAAAACCGGAUAGGUAGCAGACAAGCAUUUGACUGCUAUUAAAGUGGCCUUGGCCAUGAACAUGGAUGGACCUGCGGUGCAUUAGCUAGUUGGUGAGGUAACGGCCCACCAAGGCGACGAUGCAUAGCCGGCCUGAGAGGGCGGACGGCCACAGUGGGACUGGGACACGGCCCAAACUCCUACGGGAGGGAGCAGUAGGGAAUUUUCGUCAAUGGGGGGAACCCUGAACGAGCAAUGCCGCGUGAGUGAGGAAGGUCUUCGGAUCGUAAAGCUCUGUUGUAAGAGAAAAACGGCACUCAUAGGGAAUGAUGAGUGAGUGAUGGUAUCUUACCAGAAAGUCACGGCUAACUACGUGCCAGCCGCCGCAGUAAGAC